AUACAUGCAAGUCGAGCGAAUGGAUUAAGAGCUUGCUCUUAUGAAGUUAGCGGCGGACGGGUGAGUAACACGUGGGUAACCUGCCCAUAAGACUGGGAUAACUCCGGGAAACCGGGGCUAAUACCGGAUAACAUUUUGAACCGCAUGGUUCGAAAUUGAAAGGCGGCUUCGGCUGUCACUUAUGGAUGGACCCGCGUCGCAUUAGCUAGUUGGUGAGGUAACGGCUCACCAAGGCAACGAUGCGUAGCCGACCUGAGAGGGUGAUCGGCCACACUGGGACUGAGACACGGCCCAGACUCCUACGGGAGGCAGCAGUAGGGAAUCUUCCGCAAUGGACGAAAGUCUGACGGAGCAACGCCGCGUGAGUGAUGAAGGCUUUCGGGUCGUAAAACUCUGUUGUUAGGGAAGAACAAGUGCUAGUUGAAUAAGCUGGCACCUUGACGGUACCUAACCAGAAAGCCACGGCUAACUACGUGCCAGCAGCCGCGGUAAUACGUAGGUGGCAAGCGUUAUCCGGAAUUAUUGGGCGUAAAGCGCGCGCAGGUGGUUUCUUAAGUCUGAUGUGAAAGCCCACGGCUCAACCGUGGAGGGUCAUUGGAAACUGGGAGACUUGAGUGCAGAAGAGGAAAGUGGAAUUCCAUGUGUAGCGGUGAAAUGCGUAGAGAUAUGGAGGAACACCCGUGGCGAAAGGCGACUUUCUGGUCUGUAACUGACACUGAGGCGCGACAGCGUGGGGAGCAAACAGGAUUA
rnacentral:rRNA from 1 species